UCGACAAACUUGGCUUAACCGCGUUCAACCACGGCAAUUCUUAUAGAAGGCGCUCGCGUGCGGAAGUAUUGUCGACUGCUCGGCCUGAUAUAGGCAGUAUUUCUACUGAGGAUAGUAUGGCUUUAUUUAAGGUAGAAACGCGGUUUGUCUGUCUCUAACCAGGUGCGGACGCUCGGUGGCAUCCUGAUCGGCAUGAUCACGAGAGAGGCGGGAUUAUCGAGAAGUCUCUACUUGGAUGCCGACCGCUUCAACCUCACCUUUCCUCUCGAUUUGGACUGUGCACGUGAAGGCAGCGCUACUGGCAUGCACCAUGCUCAUAGACUUCAUGUUCUUCGAGACGACAUGUUAGUGGGAAAAGGAAGGUUCUCGAGUUGGAGCAUUCGCCCUUCGUGUCGAACGCCGAAUUCACGACGCAGCGCGUUAUUUUAUUAAUUUGCGACUUAGGUCUAGAGAAAUGAAUAAGCUUUUC